UGAAACUCGCCUACAUGAAGCUGGAGUUACUAGUAAUCGCAGAUCAGAAUGCUGCGGUGAAUGCGUUCCCGGGUCUUGUACACACCGCCCGUCACACCACGGAAGUUGGGGGCGCCCGAAGCCACUUAGCUAACCCUUUUGGGAAGCGAGUGUCGAAGGUGAAAUCAAUAACUGGGGUGAAGUCGUAACAAGGUACC
rnacentral:rRNA from 1 species